rnacentral:rRNA from 1 species
AUUGAACGCUGGCGGCAGGCCUAACACAUGCAAGUCGAACGGUAACAGGGAUCAGCUUGCUGAUUCGCUGACGAGUGGCGGACGGGUGAGUAAUGUCUGGGGAACUGCCUGAUGGAGGGGGAUAACUACUGGAAACGGUAGCUAAUACCGCAUAACGUCGCAAGACCAAAGAGGGGGACCUUCGGGCCUCUUGCCAUCGGAUGUGCCCAGAUGGGAUUAGCUAGUAGGUGGGGUAACGGCUCACCUAGGCGACGAUCCCUAGCUGGUCUGAGAGGAUGACCAGCCACACUGGAACUGAGACACGGUCCAGACUCCUACGGGAGGCAGCAGUGGGGAAUAUUGCACAAUGGGCGCAAGCCUGAUGCAGCCAUGCCGCGUGUAUGAAGAAGGCCUUCGGGUUGUAAAGUACUUUCAGCGGGGAGGAAGGGAGUAAAGUUAAUACCUUUGCUCAUUGACGUUACCCGCAGAAGAAGCACCGGCUAACUCCGUG